rnacentral:rRNA from 1 species
UACGAAGGGGGGCGAGCGUUGUUCGGAUUUACUGGGCGUAAAGGGCGCGCAGGCGGCGGAUCAAGUCAGAUGUGAAAGCCCCGGGCUUAACCUGGGAACUGCAUUUGGGACUGGUUUGCUAGAGAUCGGGAGAGGAGAGUGGAAUUCCCAGUGUAGAGGUGAAAUUCGUAGAUAUUGGGAAGAACACCGGUGGCGAAGGCGGCUCUCUGGACCGAUACUGACGCUGAGGCGCGAAAGCGUGGGGAGCAAACAGG